rnacentral:rRNA from 1 species
UACGAGGACCCCAAGCGUUAUCCGGAAUUACUGGGCGUAAAGCGUGCGUAGACGGUAGCGUAAGUCGGGUGUGAAAGCCCCGGGCUCAACCUGGGAAUUGCAUUCGAGACUGCUCUGCUAGGGUGCGGAAGAGGGGAGCGGAAUUUCCGGUGUAGCGGUGAAAUGCGUAGAUAUCGGAAGGAACACCAGUGGCGAAAGCGGCUCCCUGGUCCAGCACCGACGUUCAGGCACGAAAGCGUGGGGAGCAAACAGG